UGGGGAAUAUUGGGCAAUGGGCGCAAGCCUGACCCAGCAACGCCGCGUGAGGGAAGAAGGCUUUCGGGUUGUAAACCUCUGUCCUUGGUGACGAAAAAAAUGACGGUAGCCAAGGAGGAAGCCCCGGCUAACUACGGUCCAGCAGCCGCGGUAAUACGUAGGGGGCGAGCGUUGUCCGGAAUUACUGGGCGUAAAGGGUGCGUAGGUGGCCUUUUAAGUUGGAUGGGAAAGACCCGGGCUUAACUUGGGGGGUGCAUCUAAUACUGGAGGGCUAGAGUGCAGGAGAGGAAAGCGGAAUUCCUAGUGUAGCGGUGAAAUGCGUAGAUAUUAGGAGGAACACCAGUGGCGAAGGCGGCUUUCUGGACUGUAACUGACACUGAGGCACGAAAGCGUGGGGAGCAAACA
rnacentral:rRNA from 1 species